CUGUCGUGGGCCUGCGGUUCCCUACGGUUUCAAAGGUAAGGCAGGCAAGAAGAUGCCAUCUUGAAGGAGCUAAUGGUGGAACAAUGCAAUGUAUCAGUUCUGCAUUUGAACAUUGGAACACAGGAUUAUUGAAUUGUUGUGGAAGAUAUCACAUGGUUUCACAAUCAAAUACUGAGGAAAUCUAGGAAGCAGAGUAAAGUCAC